rnacentral:rRNA from 1 species
CACGUAGGGCGCAAGCGUUGUCCGGAAUUACUGGGCGUAAAGAGCGUGUAGGCGGCCAGACAGGUCAGCUGUGAAAACUCGAGGCUCAACCUCGAGACGUCGGUUGAAACCGUCUGGCUAGAGUCCGGAAGAGGAGAGUGGAAUUCCCGGUGUAGCGGUGAAAUGCGCAGAUAUCGGGAAGAACACCCGUGGCGAAGGCGGCCUGCUGGGCAGUGGCUGACGCUGAGGCGCGACAGCGUGGGGAGCAAACAGG